GACACCUGUGGCUCUUGGCUCUUUGCCUCUCAGAGCUGUUGCACUGUGUUGCUUUAGCAGAGGUGAGAAAAUUCCUGGAAGUCUGCUGAUGAAGUUGAGGAACAUCUUAAUCUUUUUCCCCUGAAGUGGCUUGAGUGCAGCUUCCAGAAAGUCAGGGCUUGAAAGCCUGAAAGCUCUGACUGGAUGUUCUGAGAGGACUUCUGACACGAGGGCUGGACUGCAGAUGUGGCUGGAGAUGCUGGAUGUCUUGAGACAGCUGUUGGUGUUUGGAAGUGCCCUGCAGAGGCACUAGACCUGCUGGGCUGGGGGUGACUGAUUUGCUGUGAAGCCAGGAGACCCAUCCUGCAGCAAAUAGAGCUGCCAGAAAACAAACAUGAACCCUGUUUGGAACAAAGAGGGCUGUGGGCUGCUUGUUUGGAACUUCAUGAUUGGACCUUCAUAAGGUUGCAGCUGGCUGACUCCCUCUGCCUUCCAGAUGAUGUCUCUCACCAUCAAGAAGAGGCUGCCAGCACUCAGGGGAUGAAUCUGCCCCAGGUUGUCCAGUUUCAAGACAAGAACAAGACCUCCAUCACAAGAUCUCAGCAGCUGGCCCGGAUCACAGCUCAAUUCAACCUUGCCCACCUGAGGUGGUGUUUCAGAACUACAGCCUUGGUGAGGUCUGUGAAGUGCCAGUGGUUCUGA
rnacentral:lncRNA from 12 species